rnacentral:misc_RNA from 1 species
UAAAUCCAAUUUAUACACCCUUGUGAACUGUGCGCUGAAGUUGCUACGCGUUUGUCGUGCAGCUUUCGUUGCAAAAACAACUUAUUUUAAGAAAGCUGAAGCAAUAUUUUAAAAUAAAA